CCCACUCGCAUUCUGUCUCUGUCUCUCUCAAAAAUAAACAUUAAAAAAAAAAAGUCAGUGUGGCAGUUGUUAAUGACAACAACGUACUCCAAGGACGGUGGUCGGGGGUAGGGGCACCUCAAGUACAGCUCCCACUAGCCUCUAUGUCUGGUCUUAUGCUCACUCUCCUCCACUCACGACCCUCUGCCCUCUCGCAGCGGCCGGCUUCUCUACAUCGAGUCUCUUCUCCUCCCUCCCAUCAUUCUUCUGUACCUGUCUCCAGACUGAACGUGUCCUUCCAGAACUCAUGUGUUGAAACCUCACCCCAGUACGAUGAUGGUUGGAGGUGGGGUCUUCCUGGACGUGAUUUAGGUCAGGAGGGUGGAGCCCUCGUGAAAGGGGUUAGGUCCUUAUAAGAGAGACCUCAGAGAGCUCCCGUGUCCCAUCUGCCAUGCGAGGACACAGCAAGAAGACAACCAUCUGUGAAUCAGGAAUUGGGCCUUUACCAGACACCGAAUCUGCCAACACCUUGACCUUGGACUUCCAGCCUCCAGACCUGUGAGAUGUAAAGGUCUGUUGUUAGAGCCACCCAGGGCAUGGAGCUUUGUUACGGCAGCCUGAAUGGACUGAGACGUGCUUUUUUGUGUUCUCCCUCUUUUUACCCCUUCACUCAUCCCCUUUGAGCUUUCUCUUCCUCUUCCUCUCAUUUUCGAUUUGCCUCUUCUCCCCCGCCCACCUUCUCCCUUCUUGGCCAAGUCCAUGGAACUAAGCUUUAUGUUAAAGUGGCCUUCUGAUUUAUUAAGUACCAGUCUCUCAGUUCUUAAUUUUUCUCGCGGAGCAUUGGAAUCUUACGGGCAUUUGCACCGCAACAAAGGACAGAUUAAUUUUUUUUUAGUUGUGUGUGGCCAAAAAAAAAAAAAAGAAUAAACGUUCUCUGUGAUGACAGGUGGCUCUUGAGAAGGUGAGGAGUGCCUGGCAGAAUCCCCCGGACGCCCCGCUGCUUCUGCACACCGGAAUAGCCUGGCAGUUUCUCUCUCUCACCUGAGCAGUAGCAUCCAGAAAGCUGGCCAGUUCCCAAGUGAUGGAAGCAAGUUACCCUACUGCCCACAGCUCGUACUUUAUGAAGAAAAACAAAGGAUCUGCGGGUGGUGUCUGACUUUAUGUAGGGAAUUAGCUCAUACGCUCCUUGGCACAGUGCUUUCCCCCUUCUGGAUGCUCAAGAAAUAUGAUUUGAUGAUAAGCCUGCCUGUGAUUUCCAGAUGCCUUUGUUUCCCUCCUGUUGGUUCCUCAGUCUUGCCAGGGAAGUUUUACUUGAGUGAGAGAGAGGGCCCAUGAGCAGGACGGAGGGGC